AGGAUCAUUAUUGAAAUAAACCUGAUAAGUUGUUGCUGGUUCUCUAGGGAGCAUGUGCACACUUGUCAUCUUUGUAUCUUCACCUGUGCACCUUUUGUAGACCUGAGAAAUCUCUCUGAAUGCUUAUUUUGGCAUCCGGGAUUGAGGAUUGACUUGCUGUCUCUUCUUAUAUUUUCAGGUUUAUGUUUCUCCAUAUACCCUAAUGUAUGUUUAUAGAAUGUAAUCAAAUGGGCCUUGUGCCUAUAAAACUAUAUAACUUUCAGCAACGGAUCUCUUGGCUCUCGCAUCGAUGAAGAACGCAGCGAAAUGCGAUAAGUAAUGUGAAUUGCAGAAUUCAGUGAAUCAUCGAAUCUUUGAACGCACCUUGCGCUCCUUGGUAUUCCGAGGAGCAUGCCUGUUUGAGUGUCAUUAAUAUAUAUCAACCUGUCUGGUUGGAUGUGGGUUUGCUGGCCUUUUGGGGUCAGCUCACCUUAAAUGCAUUAGCGGACAAUAUUUUGUGAACUGUUCAUUGGUGUGAUAAUUAUCUAUGCUUAUUGAAUAUGAAGCAAGGUUCAGCUACUAACAGUCCAUUGACUUGGACAAAUUUAUUUUUAUUAAUGUGACCUCAAAUCAGGUAGGACUACCCGCUGAACUUAA
rnacentral:rRNA from 1 species